GGCUAGUGUCCCUGCAGAGAGGGAGGAGAUCUUCCUCACAACCAGUGUCCCUGUGAAGAAUGGACACAAUCAUCCACAACCACCUCCCAUCAUCCCCAUGGUGGCACCACUGUGGAAAUGGGAUGGUGGAGCGUGUACUCCACCUGUGGAUUUCUAUUCCAAGAGAAGAGAUUGUCUGGGAUCCAACUCUGCACAGAUGGGUUAACAAAACUGAGCCCAAGGCUGAGAACAAGUGUGUACCACCACCUCCACCGAUGGGGACAUAUGGAUAUCAGGGGAACACUGGCAGUGUCCCCAAAGGAGUGAAUCCUUACUCUAUGAAAGCAGCAGGUCUAUGGGGCAGCAGAUACCCUACAAUGUAUUACAAUGAUGGGACCAACUCAAAGCCUCCAAGCCAUGGGCCUGGACUGCUUCCUAGACAGCUCUCUGGCUUGCUCCCUCCUUCACACUUUGACCUCAUGGCACCAAUGGUUGUGCCACCUGACACUCUACCCUACUGAGGCCAUUUGCCCAGAGUGGAUUUGCCAUACAUAGAUUUUUUCAGCAUUAAAA